AGGGUUCGAUUCUGGCUCAGGAUGAACGCUAGCUACAGGCUUAACACAUGCAAGUCGAGGGGCAGCAUGAGAUUAGCUUGCUAAUCUUGAUGGCGACCGGCGCACGGGUGAGUAACGCGUAUCCAACCUUCCCCCUACUCAGGCAUAGCCCGGUGAAAACCGGAUUAACUCCUGAUAGUUUCACUAGAUGGCAUCUGACGGUGAAUAAAGCUCAGCGGUAAGGGAUGGGGAUGCGUCUGAUUAGCUUGUUGGCGGGGUAACGGCCCACCAAGGCGACGAUCAGUAGGGGUUCUGAGAGGAAGGUCCCCCACAUUGGAACUGAGACACGGUCCAAACUCCUACGGGAGGCAGCAGUGAGGAAUAUUGGUCAAUGGGCGCGAGCCUGAACCAGCCGAGUAGCGUGCAGGAAGACGGCCCUAUGGGUUGUAAACUGCUUUUGUGCGGGAAUAAAGUCAGGGACGUGUCCCUGUUUACAUGUACCGCAAGAAUAAGGACCGGCUAAUUCCGUGCCAGCCGCUGC
rnacentral:rRNA from 1 species